rnacentral:rRNA from 1 species
GGCGCACGGGUGCGUAACGCGUAUGCAAUCUACCUUUUGCAGAGGGAUAGCCCAGAGAAAUUUGGAUUAAUACCUCAUAGUAUGCAGAGUUGGCAUCAACACUGCAUUAAAGUCACAACGGCAAAAGAUGAGCAUGCGUCCCAUUAGCUAGUUGGUAAGGUAACGGCUUACCAAGGCUACGAUGGGUAGGGGUCCUGAGAGGGAGAUCCCCCACACUGGUACUGAGACACGGACCAGACUCCUACGGGAGGCAGCAGUGAGGAAUAUUGGACAAUGGGCGCAAGCCUGAUCCAGCCAUGCCGCGUGCAGGAUGACGGUCCUAUGGAUUGUAAACUGCUUUUGCACAGGAAGAAACAACGCUACGUGUAGCGUCUUGACGGUACUGUGAGAAUAAGGAUCGGCUAACUCCGUGCCAGCAGCCGCGGUAAUACGGAGGAUCCAAGCGUUAUCCGGAAUCAUUGGGUUUAAAGGGUCCGUAGGCGGUUUAGUAAGUCAGUGGUGAAAGCCCAUCGCUCAACGGUGGAACGGCCAUUGAUACUGCUAAACUUGAAUUAUUAGGAAGUAACUAGAAUAUGUAGUGUAGCGGUGAAAUGCUUAGAGAUUACAUGGAAUACCAAUUGCGAAGGCAGGUUACUACUAAUGGAUUGACGCUGAUGGACAAAAGCGUGCGUAGCGAACAGGAUUAUAUACCCUGGUAGUCCACGCCGU